AACGAACGCUGGCGGCAGGCCUAACACAUGCAAGUCGAACGGGAUCUUCGGAUCUAGUGGCGGACGGGUGAGUAACGCGUGGGAACGUGCCCUUUGGUUCGGAAUAGCCCUGGGAAACUGGGAGUAAUACCGGAUACGGUCGAGAGACGAAAGAUUUAUCGCCGAAGGACCGGCCCGCGUUGGAUUAGGUAGUUGGUGGGGUAAAGGCCUACCAAGCCGACGAUCCAUAGCUGGUUUGAGAGGAUGAUCAGCCACACUGGGACUGAGACACGGCCCAGACUCCUACGGGAGGCAGCAGUGGGGAAUCUUAGACAAUGGGGGAAACCCUGAUCUAGCCAUGCCGCGUGAGCGAUGAAGGCCUUAGGGUUGUAAAGCUCUUUCGUGGGGGAAGAUAAUGACUGUACCCCAAGAAGAAGCCCCGGCUAACUCCGUGCCAGCAGCCGCCGUAAGAC
rnacentral:rRNA from 1 species